rnacentral:lncRNA from 1 species
GGAAAGGUAAUCUGACGACAGGGAGGUUAAAGCUUGGAUUUCUGCCUUCAUUUUAGAUUCUGCCAUUAUUUCCAUCUGCCAAUAAGAGGUAAAAUAUCACAAAAUCAGAGUUCUUUGCUGCAGUUCUGUUAAUUCAACAAACUAAUCAGCCUUGACUUUUUUUUUUAUUAUUCACAAUCACAACAAUAGUUUUCAGGAUCAGCCAGGAUAUCCUGAGCUGCUACAGGAAAACCAUCAGAGGAGAGAAUACCUGGUACAGAUGCUGCAGUAAUCAGACAUGGUCUGGGACCAUUCAUGAUUUCUUUUUUCAUUUUUUUUAAUCUCAUAAACUUUGAUAGGGCCAUCAACAAAGGAUAAAUAACCAUGAUAAGGGUAAAAAUAGACCAGCUGCAUCUGGCUGACCUCAUCUAUUAGCCUUCACAUGAUUCCAUUUCAACAACUAUUUACUGCUAAACCACAAUAACAUUAGUUGUUGGUUAUAUAAAAUUACAAGUAUGUUUUCAAAAUAUUAUGUGAACAGCCACCAUUAAAGCAAAAGGCAGUUAAACUUUAUACAACACUUGAAUUCAAAAAGAAACACCAUAUACUUCUCUUUUCCAAAAUGGUUGGUAAGUAAUAUAAGGUCUCUUGAGGAUGCUGUCAAGUUUCCCUUGAUCCCGUUUUGUCAGUGGGAUCAAACUAUCUCUAGGUACAUUCAGCCUGGUAAAAAAUAAAUGCAAAAAAAUCAGUAAAAAAAAGCCUGUUCCCAUCACACAUAUGUUUUGCUUGUAUUUACUGUACUAUUUCAAAAAACUCAGAAAUGACAGAUAAGAAAAUCAAUACAACCCUGUCGAAUCCUAGAUCAGCAAGUUUUCAAGCAGGUAGUGGAAGUCUGUUUCUACAGUAAAUAAAUCCUAAGCAUUUUACUUUCUUCUUUUUCAAGCAGGUAGUGGAAGUCUGUUUCUACAGUAAAUAAAUCCUAAGCAUUUUACUUUCUUCUCAUCACAGGAUGAUGACAGGAAGACACACUUUUGUUAUUAAGCACAUGCCCCCAGCACUGGCACUGUGUAUGUGAUACUAGGGCAGUUGAACAAGGUGUGGUUAAGCAUCCCAGAGCAUUGAAUUCAGAGCCGUGAGUUCCACUGGGGGUGGCUAGAAGCUGCAUUUCACUGAGGGACAUUAGGUUCCAACAGGUGCUUACUUGUUUGUGAUUCAUUGAGGACAUUGUUUGUGUAGUGCUUCCCAUUCAUGUGUGUGCGCACACACACUCACCUAUCUAGUUUUAACUUUGAAAAAAGAAGAAUGUAAUUUUAUCUUGGUAUGUGUUUAAAAAUAGAACAUGAGAGGUCUGAGAUUUAGGGUGUAAUCUACUUUUUGAAGUCACAAAUUCUUGAUUUCUCAAGGGAUCUCUGGUUUCAGUCUUUUUCUAUAUCCCCAUAAUUAUGACCAUUUGCCAGUGGCAGGUUCUGGGUAGGGGUGACAAUUUGAGAGAGGCCUAGAGCAUUUCCCUUACAGUGUGUUUGCAUAGCUCCUUUGUAUAUGUAUUUGGGGUGGUUCUGAGGACACUUGUGGAAUUUAUAAGAUGCAGCUAGAGUUUCCCUAGGCCCUCUAACUUAAAAAUGAGCAGAUCAUGUGUCCUGAAUUAGUGUUAGAAAUGGCCUUCAUACAAAUAGAUCACCUCCAAGGCAUUGUGGUCAUGACACAUAACAUCAAAUUGAACAAAACUUUAAUUCACUGGAUGUAAAUGUUAAAAAAAAGAGAAAGGUUUCCUGUCAUUCUCUCAUUUUGUAAUAAGUGUCUACCCCAAAACUGUUCAUACUCCCAAUUUAGGAAACAAGCACCUGUAAUCAAGGGGUGCACUGCUUAAAGAAAUCCAAUAAGCAUGUUAAAUUAAUUUUCACUGGCAAAUUAAAACAAUAAGAAACAUUUCAAAAUUUAUCCCAUUAGCAGAAAGGAAAAAAGUGUUACUAUCUUAUGCUGGAGAGAUAUACUGGCUCUUGUUCUGCAGAGAGAAUAAAACAACCCUUCCAGCCGGGUGCAGUGACACACACCUGUAAUUCCAACAGCUUGGGAGGCUGAGGCAGGAGAGUCCAGAGUUCAAAGCCAGCCUUAGUAACUUAGCAAGACCCUGUCUCUAAAUAAAAAAUAAAAAGGGCUGGGGAUGUUGCUCAGUGAUUAAGAGCCCUUGGGUUCAAUCUCUAGUACAAAAAAAAAAAAAAGAAGUCUUAAAAUGUGUAAAAUCUUUUAGCCACCAAUUCUUCUGGGAAUUCUGCCUCAGGGUUUCUUUAAAGAUGCUGGUAAAGGUUUAGUUUAAGGAACCCAUCAACACACUAUCAGAGAUUUGGAAACCACUUAAGUGUCUAGCUAUGAGGGACUGGCCACACAAACAUCAGAAUAUCCAGAAUUGGAACUUGUAGUAGGACACAUUAAAAUGAGGUCAUAAAGAGAAAUGUAUUAGUAGGGAAAAGUGAUCACAUUGUGCUGUAUGAAAAACACAAAAUAACAGUACAGUAUGAUCACAUCUUUGUGAAAAAGUAUGGUUGUGCACAGAAAAUCUACAAAAGCACAGCUGUUUAACUGUAGGUGAUUUUUUAUCUUGUUAUUUAUUAUUUUUUUUCUAUAAUGAACAAUAUAUAUUAAAUGUGCCCCACUUGAGGUUCCCAAACUUUAAAUCAUCCCCAAAUGAGAUUUUUUAUGAAGUUAAAAAUUUAAAUGUAUGAUAAAAAAAUUGAUUCAUAUGGCAAAUGAUGUUGUCAAUGAUUACCAUUUAAUUAGAAUCCAUGUAUUAUACUCUAAGUACAAAAAAAUAUAAAAUGUUUUAACCAUAAAAUAAAAAUUUGUAGCUAGCUGCAAGUGUUAUUAUAAUUAACUAAACUUAUUCAUUAAGUAUUUUAGUACUAGAGUAGAAACACUGAUGAAUUAAAUUCAUAAUUGGUAAUCUUGAAUCAUAGUGAACAAUAUAAAUUAAAAACAACAUUAAGAGCUUUUCCUUACAGUAACUUUUAUUGAUCACAAUAAAUCACUUUAAAUGUCCUAUUUCUGCUAUACUGAAUAACCUUUUAAUAUCAGAAGGGAGUAAACCAAGCCAUCUCAUAGCUGGAACUGUGAGGUUGUGGGCUUCAAAAGACAUGGACUGAAACAAAGAGCAAAAAUAUGUUAGAUGAGGCUAACUUGCAGAAAACUAGCAUACUGGUUUUCAUAGACAAAUCAUUUUCUAAGGAAAAGCACCGAAAUGCUCUGUAUUAUCUCUGUAUUAAUUUUUUAUGGAGCAAACUACAAAUUAACCUCUCUGAUCUGCAUUUAUUACUGUGAUUCCGUCUCUCCACCUGCUCUGCCGUCCUUUUUAUCUGUAGUAAAUUUAACCAGGCAUCAGAAUCACAUGGAGGUGCAGGUUCAGUAGGUUUGGAUGGGGACUGAGAGUUGCAAAUUUCCAGGUGAUGUGGAUGCUGAUAGCUAGAGACACAUUUGGAGAAGCCCUGAUGUAUGGUUGUUGCAGACUAGUGGUGAAAUUUGGUGGUGUUUUCCUUCCUCCUUAUAGUGGAAGAAAAGGGAUCCCAAAGUCAAAAUUCAAGAUGUAAGAUUAGAGUAUGUUUGGUGAUCAGACACCAUUGUUACCCUGGGACCUUGCAGGUACUUUAGUAGGCUGGAAGGUGCAGGAUGAUAAUGGUUUUUGCCCACAGCUCAUCUAUUCCCUGUGUAUACUGGUCAUGCUGGAGGCUGGACUCCCAGCCACUGAACAGCAGAAGAUCCUGGAAUGGGACGCUAGUUCCUGAGUCCAUUCUGGAAGUCUUUUGCAUACUAGGGGUGAUAAGUAAGCACAUCAUCCCAAUGAAUGUAAAAUGUCUAAAUAGUGGAGAAAGGAAAACUACUUUUCUAUACUCACCCUAGACCCAUACUUAUAGAUGCACAUUAUUUCUAUGCCUGUUAAAAAAAAAGUUAACUUUAAAAUUAGUCUUAUAUAAUACAGGUUAAAUAAUUUGCACUCAGAUUUUAUCUAACAUCUGCAAUUUUUAGUUUUGUGGACACUACCAAUAAUAAACUUGUGGUUCUCCAUCU